GAUGAACGCUAGCGGCAGGCCUAAUACAUGCAAGUCGAACGGGUGGUCGCAAGACCACUAGUGGCGCACGGGUGCGUAACGCGUAACCAACCUGCCCCGAUCUGGGGGAUAGCCCGCCGAAAGGCGGAUUAAUACCGCAUAUACCCGCAGCCUGGCAUCAGGCAACGGGGAAAGAUUUAUUGGAUCGGGAUGGGGUUGCGUGACAUUAGCUAGUUGGCGGGGUAAGGGCCCACCAAGGCGACGAUGUCUAGGGGACCUGAGAGGGUGAUCCCCCACACUGGCACUGAGAUACGGGCCAGACUCCUACGGGAGGCAGCAGUAGGGAAUAUUGGGCAAUGGGCGAGAGCCUGGCCCAGCCAUGCCGCGUGCCGGAUGAAGGCCUUCUGGGUUGUAAACGGCUUUUCUCAGGGAAGAAAAAGACCUUGCGAGGUACACUGACGGUACCUGAGGAAUAAGCACCGGCUAACUCCGUG
rnacentral:rRNA from 1 species